UACUGUGACACUGUCCUGGAAUAUCGGAACUGCCUAGGUCACCAAUAUGUAGAAUGACACAAUGGAUGAGCAACUGCUGUGUAUUUUACAGACGGACCACGCUGAUUGUAUGAUGGUCAUGUAUCGGAUUUCACGACUGAUGCUGCUGACAUUCGUUGGCUUCACAGAACACGUAGGUUCUUUAGUCCUGACAAGUUCCCCCAUGACAGUGACAGACGGAGAACUGUUCACCCUGAUCUGCAGCAGUAACACAACUGUGGGAC